UAUGACCAACUCCCCCUAGUACGAAAGGACCGGGGAAGUGAGGCCAAUGCUACAAGCAUGCCUCCCCUCUAAGUAAUGAACCCAACUAAAUUACCAAAAGGUCACCCACAUUACCUCGUCCUAGAAAAGGACC
rnacentral:rRNA from 1 species